UAUUGUGAUGAUUUUUUUAUAUUCACACUGUACGAGAUGGGGUUUCUGCCCAUCAUUGAUUAACAAACAAAAAUACUGAUUUAAUGACUCUGAUA
rnacentral:snoRNA from 1 species